rnacentral:tRNA from 1 species
UGGCUCAGUGGUAGAGUGCUUGCCUUACAUGCAUGAGGCCCUGGGUUCGAUUCCUUA